GGCUGGUCCAGAGGUAGUGGGUGAGCUCACUCGAUUGCUCACAGUCAGUUACAGAUUGAACUCUUUGCUCUGCUCUUUCCUCCCUUCUCAAUACUGUACUUGACUAGUAUAAA
rnacentral:Y_RNA from 1 species